AUUUAUUUGAAAGGCAGAGUGAUGGGGCGGGAGUGACAUCUUCUGCUGCCUUCCCAGGCACAUCGGCAGAGAGCUGGAUCGGAAGUGGAGCAGCCAGGACUGGAACCAGCACCCAUGUGGGAUGCCGGCACUGAGGUUGGCAGCUUAACCCAUUGCACCACCGCACCGACCACAGGCUGGGCAUUUGAGGUUCACAUCAUUGCCAGUUUGGCAACAAGGCUGCCAAAAACACCACGGUCUAAGCAGCUAUUUUCAUGUAAGGACGUAAGCCAGGGUUUAGAAGCCAGCGUGUGACUCCAUCAUGGUUGUCAAAGCUUGGGGCGAGAACUGCUGCAGUACUCUGAAGCUCUGUAUGCCUGUCUGCUGCAGUGCCUCAAACAACUGAAACAAGAACCCAGCUAUUCAUUUCUGAGUCCAGGCGCACACUGUGGAGCACCUCGGAGAAUUUCACUUGGUGCCUUUGGAACCCCCAGGUUCUUCCCGAAUAGAGAGGUUCCUCUCGGGACUGUACGCUUAGAAGUAGGCAGUGAGCAGAGCCGUAGGGUCGGAGCAGCGGGGUGCAAGCCCAGCUUUGGCAGCCCUGGGAGGUGCGGAAAUGACCUUCCAUCAGUGCCCUGACCCCUGAGCGAGGACCUGGACCACUGAGUAGUGACGGGCACAGCGGGCGUGCCGUGUAAGCGCUUGCUCUUCCCAAGACUUCCCGCCUGGCACGCAUCUGGCUCGCCCUCCUGAUUUACAGAUGAGAACACGGGGCGGAGGGCGUCAAGGUCCCCGAGCCCCAUGGCCCCGUGGCCGCGUGGGGGAUUCUUCCCUGAGUUUCCGGACAGCCCUGGACCAGUGCGGCACAGAAACAGCAGCUGUGUGGGAAUACUCCGCCCCCAGCCCGGGCCAGGUGGUGCCAUUGCAGUCUCAGGAAAGAAGAACCAGGGGACCCUGGAAACACAGGCAAGCCGCCACCACACCACCGCGCCACCACACCGCCACUGCACGGUGCUGCAAAAUGUCUGUGAGUCAAACCCGCACUGGACCUUCCUCCUUCACAUACGUCAGUCACCUGGGGAGCCUGCUUUUUAAAAAGUCAGAUUUCCAGUCCCUACUCCAGGAAAUUCUAGUUCAGCAAAGCUGGGCCGGGGGCCUCAGCCUUUAUUUUUAGGAAGCAUCCCCCGUUCCCGACGUGGCCCUUCUUUCAGAAUCACUGGCCUAGAUUCUCAAGCUGGAGUCAGUGACUUUGCCGGAGGUUUCAAAUGUUUCCCAGGAAAAAGGCUUUUCAGGGCCUGGGAGAGCUGUUGCAGCAGAGGCACAGAAAAUGAACAGAGAGGAGCCAGCUGGCAGGGAAAUGCGGGAUGGGGGGUGAUUCUGGACAGAGAAGCAGGGGGCUGGGACCACUGGUGACAGCAGCUUCCUUCCUGCCUGCCUUGUUCGCAAGCCUCGGGGUGAUGCACACAAUGUGAAGGCCGUGUGGGCUUCCCUGGGAGUUGGAAUGGCUCGUGUCUUAGCAGAAGGCUCUGGAACCUGACCGUGCUUAUCAACCACGCAAAGGCAGGACCUGUGACGGAAUGCACUAGCAGCCAAGCUGGUACAGCCGUCCCACAAAGGAGGGGGUGGCAGCAAGGCCAGCCAGAAAGUCAUGGGAGAGCCCUGCCUGAGCAUAAUGAGCCGGGGUGAGGCUGGGCCUGGCAGCCUCUCUGCUGGGCAUUUAUUUGUGAGGCCUGUUGGCAAAACUUGGCAUGCUUGGGCUGGGAGCCUGGCCAGGCUGGCCUGUUGCAGUAGGUUGGAAGCUGAAGAGCAAUCUGGCCAAGGCUAGGGCAACUUGCCUUUGGACUUGGGCCAUUUUUUCUUCUUCUUCUUCUUUUUUUUUUUUUUUUUCUGUAACCACACUAGGCCUUGGUUUCAAGGAGUUGUAUUAGAUGGGAGUGCCCUGGGCCCUGCCAAGCCUUCUUUUGUGACUGAAUGAAAUAAGCGAGGAGACAAAGUCCUUGGUAAACUGGAGGCUACUCCUUAGGUGCACGUUGUCGGUCCCUGCUGUGAUCUUGGCUCCCCUGGCUGUUUCGCAGGUCCACACACUACUUGGGACACACAAGUUGCAUAGCCAUGAGUGGAGCGCUCUGGGGGUAGGCAGCAGAGUGUGUGGUGCCGUGUGUGUGAGGCUGUGUGUGUUUCUAACCUAAUUCUACUCGUCAGGAGCUGCCAAGAGGAAGGAGAAAGGAUUGUUUUGCCAUGAAGAGAGCUUGAGUUACACAACAAAAUCUCUUUUUAAUGCAAUUGUGGGGUUCUGUUUCCAGGAAUAUGGGUCCCUGCCCAGGCUGUGUGAGUCCUGCUCCAGUGUUCUCGCCAUCCUCACCCCUCAGCCCACAGCCUCGCCCAGACAAACAUCCGAUGGCCUUCAACCGGCCUUCUCUUGUCCCCUUUGUGAUUUUUAUUCCUGUGGGUCUCACACAGGUGCCUUGUUCAUAUCCCUUCUAUUGGAACUUCCAACCCUGACGGAAGGUGUCGCUCCCCGUCUUCGUGGAGGAACGACACAGGACCCUGCGCUGUUCUUUUGUCUGCUCGGCCCUCCCCGGGUUUGCUGCUGGUUCUUCCCGGGUUGGCUGCCGUCCCUUCCACCUCCGUGGAAGGGCGGUUCCCCCUGCCACUUUCCCCACUUCCGCGGGGGAGCGGCACACCGCCGGCCAGCUCUCUCGGGGGCUGCACAGGUGUUCCUCAGGUGUUCCUGGUGCAUGUUGUCUCUCUCCUCCUUUAUAGUCCUCUUCCACCAAUCCCAACUCUGCUACCCACACGCCGAGUACGCUGCUCUCCUCCAAUCAGGAGCAGGUCCUACAGUUUAUUGGUUGAACUGGAGGCAGCUGUGUAGAAGCUGUUACUCCCUUCUCAGCGCCAUAUUGUGAGAGAGCAGAUGCAUAGAAUAAGUCUUAAUUCCAGUAACUUAGUCUAGUCCGAGUUGCUCCCAGUUGCUCCCCACAGGAAGGCUGUCGUUGACCAGGAAGCUGUUCAGGCCCUUGCUCCCGUGUCUCUGCUGGGCCCUGUUUGCCCUAUGCAUGAUCGCAGGUGCAACUCUAAGGGAGGUAAGCCCUCCCUAAACUGAGCCCAGUGGUGUUCUUGUCUCUUGACUGUUUCCUCAGGCUACUGUCUCUGUUGCUCAUUGCUAUCAGGAAGAAAAAACAACACCUCCCCAGAAAGAUGUGUUGGAGUAAGCUUGACGUCAAGGGAGGUGGCCAUGAGCAUUCUGGGGAGGGAACGUAGAGGCAAUGCUGUGCACACCCUGUGAGGACCAGAGAGCAGAGGGGGGCAGAGCCUAACACGGGAUCAAGGAAAUGACAGGCACUUGCACCUCUCAGAAGAGCAGCUUGAUGCUGCAUGGGUUUGUACUUUUUUUUUUUUUUUUGACAGGCAGAGUGGACAGUGAGAGAGAGAGACAGAGAGAGAAGGUCUUCCUUUGCCAUUGGUUCACCCUCCAAUGGCCGCCGCGGCCAGCACACCGCCCUGAUCCGAUGGCAGGAGCCAGGUAUUUAUCCUGGUCUCCCAUGGGGUGCAGAGAGCUGGCCUGGAAGAGGGGCAACCGGGACAGAAUCCGGCGCCCCGACCGGGACUAGAACCUGGUGUGCCGGCGCCGCAAGGCGGAGGAUUAGCCUAGUGAGCCGCGGUGCCGGCCAGGGUUUGUACUUUCAUUUAGGCUGCGUGUUAGUCAGCUCUUCAUCGCCGCAACUAAAAACCCAAGACAAGGGGGCUGGCGCUGUGGCUCACUUGGUUAAUCCUCCGUCUGCAGCACCAGCAUCCCAUAUGGGCACCGGGUUCUAGUCCCGGUUGCUCCUCUUCCAGUCCAGCUCUCUGCUGUGGCCCGGGAGGGCAGUGGAAGAUGGCCCAAGUGUUUGGGCCCCUGCACCUGCAAGGGAGACCAGGAGGAAGCACCUGGCUCCUGGCUUCGGAUUGGCGCAGCGCACUGGCUGUAGCAGCCAUUUGGGGGGUGAACCAACAGAAGGAAGACCUUUCUCUCUGUCUCUCUCUCUCACUGUCUAACUCAUCUGUCAAAAUAAAUAAAUUAAUUAAUAGACCCA
ensembl:lncRNA